UGGGGAAUAUUGCACAAUGGGCGGAAGCCUGAUGCAGCGACGCCGCGUGAGGGAUGAAGGCCUUCGGAUUGUAAACCUCUUUCAGCAGGGACGAAGCGUGAGUGACGGUACCUGCAGAAGAAGCACCGGCUAACUACGUGCCAGCAGCCGCGGUAAUACGUAGGGUGCGAGCGUUGUCCGGAAUUACUGGGCGUAAAGAGUUCGUAGGCGGUUUGUCGCGUCGUUUGUGAAAACCCGGGGCUCAACUUCGGGCUUGCAGGCGAUACGGGCAGACUUGAGUGUUUCAGGGGAGACUGGAAUUCCUGGUGUAGCGGUGAAAUGCGCAGAUAUCAGGAGGAACACCGGUGGCGAAGGCGGGUCUCUGGGAAACAACUGACGCUGAGGAACGAAAGCGUGGGUAGCAAACAG
rnacentral:rRNA from 1 species